rnacentral:tRNA from 1 species
ACCUCACUAGCUCAACGGCAGAGCAGCGGUCUCCAAAACCGUUGAUCGGGGUUCGACUCCUCGGUGGGGUGCCA